AUUUCCAGUUAAGUUUCUUCUGAUGGUGAUGGUACUAAAGAGGACUAUGUUCAUAUCCGGGCAAAGCGAGGCCAAGCCACUAACAGCCACAGCCUUGCAGAAAGACUGGGGAGAAAGAAGAUAAGUGAGAGGAUGAAGCUUCUUCAAGAUCUUGUUCCUGAAUGCAGUAAGAUCACUGGCAAGGCAGUCAUGCUCGAUGAGAUUAUCAACUAUGUGCAGUCCUUGCAACGACAAGUCGAGAUCAUAUCCAAACAAGUAAAGCCACCCACUCGAUCACCAUAUCUCCCUCUAGGAUCAAGCGGCCUUACUGGCCCAUUUAACCAAGGAAUCAUGCAGCCAUAAUUGAUGUGCACCAUUGCCAAUCCCGUUGAUGUUUUGCACGGAGCUAUUCACGACGCGUCAACAAUGAACCAUUAUCGAUUUGUCUACUGUUAUGUUCGUUGCUGGUGCAAUCAUGGGAUACAUUAUGUUCAUUGAAUCUACACUCCCAGUUCACACUGAACUUACCCCUAAAUCUUGUGGCUUCCAAGAUUGCAGUCUAGACUACGGUGAUGAAUCCAAUAACCAAAUAUCCUUGGACUUUUAUUGUAGCUUUUUGUGUGCAUUUGUUCCGAUACUUAACAAUUAACAUUAUAUGACACCUUAGUUUCUCUAAUCACAUGUAACUCCAUCUAGCCAUCUAGGUUUGUCCUAAGUCAAACAUAUCUUUUAAUUUUGAUUAGAAAUAUCUAUAAAAAGUAAUUGUCUUAAAUAAGCAGAGUUAUUUGGUUUUAGUAAUGAAUUUAGCAAUGCCAAUGCUAUUUUUAUCGUUCUAUAUAAAUUUUAGAUAUUCAUGGUCAAACUUAAAAAUGUUUGACUUGGACAAAUAUAGAUAGACCUACACAUGCAUUGUGAUUUUAGGAAGUCCUACAAUUCUCCUCCCCAAAGUCUGCUAUCAACUUCUAACAGUUAGUCCAGUUUUCAUGAACAAAUUUAGUUUUAAUCAUUCUAUGUUGUGCCAACCGCCAGCAACUAAUAAUCAGAGCUGGGUCAUAUCAUCAUAUCAUAGUAGAUUAUAUAGCUUUCUUCCCUGUGCAUGCUUACUGGUUACUAGAUGAAAAAGGCCGUGUUACGUUAUGGCGCACUCCUCUCCUUUGAAUAGGACAUGCCUUCACACUCUCAAUUCGGCAUAUCCUUCUAGAGACUAGCUCACACUCCAAUGGUCUUCUAAAUGAAUAGCACGUUAUAGUCAAGAGUAUGACUUACCAAAUUCAUUAUUGGUUUCCAAGCAUCUUGAAAGAGAAGUCCAUCGUCUCUCUU